UACAGAGGUCCCAAGCAUUGUUCGGAUUUACUGGGCGUAAAGGGCGCGUAGGCGGCGCGACAAGUCACUUGUGAAAUCUCUGGGCUCAACCCAGAACGGUCAAGUGAUACUGUCGUGCUAGAGUGCGGAAGGGGCAACUGGAAUUCUUGGUGUAGCGGUGAAAUGCGUAGAUAUCAAGAGGAACACCUGCGGCGAAGGCGGGUUGCUGGGCCGACACUGACGCUGAGGCGCGAAAGCUAGGGGAGCGAACGGG
rnacentral:rRNA from 1 species